UACGUAGGGGGCUAGCGUUGUCCGGAAUCAUUGGGCGUAAAGAGCGCGUAGGCGGCCAGACAAGUCCGGUGUGAAAGUCACAGGCUCAACCUGUGAAUGCCGCUGGAAACUGUCUGGCUAGAGUCCGGAAGAGGAGAGUGGAAUUCCUGGUGUAGCGGUGAAAUGCGCAGAUAUCAGGAAGAACACCUAUGGCGAAGGCAGCUCUCUGGGACGGUACUGACGCUGAGACGCGAAAGCGUGGGGAGCGAACAGG
rnacentral:rRNA from 1 species